GCGGGGUGGGAGAAGCCGUGCCUACGUGACCACUCAAUGCUUAGGUUUGUAUGUGCUUAGAUAAUCGUUCGCCGAAAUUCGCUCCGGAUGUUUAGGUUACACGUGCCUGACCCGUGGCGUGAUGUAAUACAAUCAGGUCUUGUUUAGUUAGAUAAUUGUUCGCCGAAAUUCGGUCCAGAUGUUAAGGUCACGCAUUCUUGACCCGUGGCGUGAUAUAAUACAAUGGGGUCCUUGUCUAGCUAGAUUAACUCUUGGCUAUUCGAAUAUUGAAGUAAUAAAGUCUUAUCGUUAAAUAUAUUAGAUUAAUUCG
rnacentral:misc_RNA from 1 species